rnacentral:tRNA from 2 species
GCGGGGACAGCUCAGUUGGGAGAGCGUCAGACUAAAGAUUUGAAGGUUGCGUAUUCGAUUCACGCUCACCGCA